rnacentral:lncRNA from 1 species
CCCUCCCAGCCCCCAGCCCGGAGCCCCGCGGCUGCGGCGCGGGCCGAGUCUCCAAGUUACCAAGUUACCGCAGGAUUCGGGAGCUUCUCACUGGCGCGGCCGCGGCCAAUCAGAGAGCAGCGCCGCUGUUCUCGGGCAGGAGGCCUGGAGACACGCGCACCUUCCCCCGACACCCAGCGAAGCGCGCUGACAUACAAUCACAGCGGCGCGCACACACACACACACACCGUCCCAGAGACAAGCAGCGUCGCCCACCGCACAUACACAAUCACAAUGACACACACAGCGACAGACACACAGGUCCCAGGAACACGCAGACACACAGCAUCACAGAGACACACAAAAUAUCAGUGACAGCCGGGCACGGUGGCUCAGGCCUGGCACGGUGGCUCAGGCCUGUAAUCCCAGCAUUUUGGGAGGUCGAGGCGGGUAGAUCACUUGAGGUCGGGAGUUUGGGACCAGCCUAACCAAUGUGGUGAAGCUCCGUCUCUAGUGUGGUGGCAUGCACCUGUAGUCCCAGCUACUUGGGAGGCUGAGGCAGGAGAAUCGCUUGAGCCCAGGAGGUGGAGGUUGCAAUGAGCCAAGGUCGCUGCCACUGCACUCCAGCCUGGACAACAAGAGCAAAACUCCGUCUCAAAAAACAAAACAAAACAAAACAAAAAAACAACUUAGUGACACAGACAGUCCCAGGACACAUAGCACUCCCCAGACCCACAACCACAGGCACACACAGUGCUGCCCAGGCACAUGCAAUCUCCAUGAGGUAUGCACAGUCCCUUGAACACACAACAUCACCCUGACACACACAGUAUCAGUGACAUACAAUCAAUACAGUGACACUCAUCCCACAACCAAUUGGUCCCAACACACUCACUAGAUCACAGUGAUACAAUCGCAACAGUGACACAUUCAAGCACAGUGAGAGACAAUAUUGCAUACACGCAAUCUAUUAGACACACAGUUCCAUGGACACACAACAUCACCCUGACAAACACAACCACAAUGACACACAACCACAGUAACACACAGCAUUGCACAUGCACAUACUGUCGGUGAUACACAGUCCCACAGAUAUGCAUUUCAGACACAGUCAUAAUGUCACACACACACACACAAUCCCACCGUGCACCGCAUUGUCCAGGCACACACAAUAACAGUAGUAUGUAUGCACAUCUUCCCCCGACACCCAGCACAGCACAUGGGCAUACACUAUCACAGUGAUACAUACACAGUCCCAACACCCACAACACAAGUACCACUGACACACUCAGUGACACACACAAUCCCAUAUACACACAGCAUUGUAUACACGUACACACCAUCACCAUGACAUACACACACAACCCCAGUGACACCCAGCAUUACACAAACACAUCCAACCAUGACAACAGAACAGUACAGUGACAUAGCACCUUCACAGAUCUUCCCCCAACACAACAUCACUCUGACACAUAUACGAUCCCAGCGUCAGGACACAAUCACAUGGGCACACACAUCUCACUGCCAGACCAGCAUGCUGCACAGAACCACACACAUCACACCAUCAUGAUCACACACAGCACACCAGAACAUCACACAAUUGUACACUGACACACAAUCACAUUGUCACAGCAGCCCAUGACAUGUAGCAUUGUGACAAAUGUAGCAUGCUGACACACACCAUCACACUGACACACAAUCCAUCAAGUGACACACAGUAGCACACACUGACACAACCCCACCGUAAUGUGUGAACCCCCUGACACAACAGCACACUGACACAAAUCCACAGAGGACUCCAGCACACACACACAUAGUCACACAAACACCCAACCCCCGCACCCCUGCCCUUGCCCCAGGAAGCUGUGUUAGAUGUGGGACGGUGGGGGAGGGAUGCGCUGUGUGUGUGUGUGUGUGUGUGUGUGUGUGUGUUUGUGUGUGCGCCAGCGCAGGCUGUGCCUCCCCCUCCCAGCCCUUCCCCGGGGGCGGGGCCGUGCGGCAGCCGCUGUUACCGGGUAAACUUCCCCGCCCCCCCCAGCGCGGCCAUUAGUCAACCCCCCCCAGGAUGAUGUCAUCGCCUCAUUCUGGAGGCUGAGUAAUCCUCAACUCCGCCCCGCCAGGCUGCGAAAUCUGCUUGCCCAGAAUGGCAGACAAGAUCUUGGAGACGAGACGGUUUUAGGUCUGCAGUCAACCAGCUCUAUUUUGUCUCACCAGCACUUCACAUCCGGCUUACUACCUCCGGGCACUAUUCUAAGUAUGUUACAAAUACGAACUCAUUUUAUCUUCACAAUAUUUUUGGUCCUGCCUGUGCAGAUCCCUUUUGGACAGUGAGGGAAACUGAGGCACAGAGCGGAGAAGCUGCUUGCUCAAGGUCAUCAUUUGAACCCAUGUCGGAGUUAUCGUUCCUCUGUGCUGUGCGCCCGUGGGAGAGGCAUUAACACUCAAAAUACGAAACUGCACAGAGUCAAGAAAACGCACUCGUGGACGGCCUGCGGACCACUAGUUUGAGACCCCAGCCUCAACAUGAGCAUCUGUGCAAAUAGACACGAACUGUCCUCCUCCCAGAAGUAGACCUGGGCAUCCUGACCCCAUGAACACAGGGACUUGCUGUCUCUCCCCAAACUGGAUUCAGGCAUCAUGGCUUUUGAACACAGGGCUGAUGAUCCUUCCCAGAAGAGAAUGCAGGCAUCUUGGCCCCAUAAAAAUAGGGGUCCUGGGCCGGGCUCAGUAGCUCACGGCCUGUAAUCCCAGAACUUUGGGAGGCCUAGGCCGGUGGAUCACCUGGGGUCAGGAGUUCAAGACCAGCCUGGCCAACAUGGCUAAACCCUGUCUCUAUUAAAAAUACAAAAAUUAGCCGGGCGUGGUGGUGCACACCUGUAGUCCCAGCUACUCAGGAGGCUGAGGGAGGAGAAUCGCUUGAACCUGGGAGGCAUAGGUUGCAGUGAGCCAAGAUCGCACCACUGCACUCAAGCAUGGGUGACAGGGCAAGCAAGACUCCAUCUCAAAAAAAAAAAAAAAGUAAAAAAAAAAAAAAUUAGCCAGGCAUGGUGGCACAUGCCUGUAGUCCCAGCUACUCGGGAGGCUGAGGCAGGAGAAUCGCUUGAACUGGGAGGAGGCUGAGGCAGGAGAAUCGCUUGAACUGGAAGGAGGCUGAGGCAGGAGAAUUGGGAGGCAUAGGUCGCAGUAAGCUGAGAUCAUGCCACUCUGCACUCCAGCCUGGGUGACAGAGUGAGACUGCGUCUCAAAAAAAAAAAAAAAAAAUAGGGGUCCAGGCCGGGUCCAGUGGUUCAUGCCUGUAAUCCCAGUACUUUGGGAGGCUGAGGUGGGAGGAUCAUUUGAGCCCAGGAGUUUAAGACCAGCCUGGGCAAAAUGGUGAAACCUCAUUUUUACUAAAAAUACAAAAAUUAGCUGGGCGUGGUGGCACAGGCCUGUAGUCCCAGCUAAUCAGGAGGCUGAGGCAGGAGGAUCACCAGAGCCUGGGAAGCGGAGGUUGCAGUGAGCCAAGAUCACACCGCUGCAUUCAAGCGUGGGUGAUAGAGUGAGACCCUGUUCUCAUAAAAGAGGCGGAGGGGUCCUUAGCUAGAGGUUUCCUUGCUUGGAUUCUCAGAGAGUCAACGGACUCCCACACUGGUAAUAGUAAUGACAAGUAACAUAUAUUAAACAUCCAUCAUGCCCCAGUACUUUUAUUGUUUAAUUUUUUUUUGUUUAUUUAUUUAUAAAACAGGGUCUUUUUAUUUUAUUUAUUUAUUUUUUUGAGACAGAGUCUCGCUCUGUCGCCCAGGCUGGAGUGCAGUGAUGGGAUCACAGCUGUCUGUGGUCUUGUCCUCCUGGGCUCCAGCCAUUCUCCUUCCUCAGCCUCCCAAGUAACUGGGUCCACAGGUGCACACCACCACGCCUGAUUAUUUUUUAAAUUUUUUGUAGAGACAGGGGUCUCACUAUGUUGCCUAGGUUGGUCUGGAACUCCUGGGCUCAAGCAAUCCUCCUGCCUCAGUUUCUCAGAAUGCUGGGAUUACAGGCAUGAGCCACUGUGUGCCUAGCCCAAUGUUUUAUUGUUAUUCACAUUCUGACUGCACAUCCUAUGAGGUAGGGACCUGUGCUGUCUCAACUCACAGAUGAGGAAACUGAGGCACAGAGCUGUGACCACUUCCCCAACAUCACCCACAGGUGGCAGAGGGGAUUCUAAGUCAGGCCAUCUGGACUCACAGCCCACAGUCUUUCAUGAGGGCUGCAUGCGGGCUUAGGAAACCAAGGCAGGCGAAUGGGUUCAGGCCAGGAGUUGGAAACAUGCCUGGGUAGGCAACACAGUGAGACCUCAUCUCUACAGAAAAUUUAAAAAUUAGCCAGGUGUGGUGGUGUGCACCUGUAGUCCCAGCUACUCGGGAAACUGAGGUGGGAGAAUUGCUUGAGCCUAGGAGGUGGAAGCUGCAGUGAGCUGUGAUCAUCAGCUGUGAUCAUGCCACUGCACUCCAGCCUGGGCAACAGAGCAAGACCCUGUCAAAAAAAAAAAAAAAAAAAGAGGCAGCCCUUGACCCACCCACAAACUUCUUUUUCUUUGCCCACAAGGGUUUUGUGUUGUUGUUGUUUUGGGGGUGGGGGUCGGUUUUUUAUUUUUGAGGCGGAGUCUUGCUCUGUUGCCCAGGCUGCAGUGCAGUAGCGCGAUCUCGGCUCACUACAACCUCCGCCUCCCGGGUUCAAUCGAUUCUUCUGCCUCAGCCUCCAGAGUAGCUGGGAUUACAGGCAUGUGCCACCACACCCAGCUAAUUUUUGUAUUUUUAGUAGAGACGAGGCUUUGCCAUGUUGGCCAGGCUGGUGUUUUGUUUUGCUUUUGAGAAAGGGUCUCGCUCUGUCGCCCAAGCUGGAGUGCAAUGGUGCGAUCACAGCCUACUGCAGCCUCGACCUCACAGGCUCAAGCGUUCCUCCCACCCCAGCCUCCCCAGUUAGGUUUCCGCAUGUUGCCCAGGCUGGUCUGGAACUCCUGGGCUCAGGUGAUCCACCCAUCUCGGCCUUCCGUGAUACUGGGAUUACAGACGUGAGCCACCACGCCCAGCUGUGGGGAGGAUUUUGACUAGUGAUAACGCUUAUGGCCAAAUAGACUCUUGGCCUCUCCCCAUCUUUUCUACCUCCAGCCACCAAGCCAGAUUCCCACUAUCCUUCACACUCAUUUUCUUCUCAAAAGAACAUUAUAGGCCGGUGUGGUGGCUCACACCUGUAAUCCCAGCAUUUUGGGAGGUCAAGGAGGAACGAUUGCUUGAGGUCUGGAAUUUGAGACCAGCCUGGGCAACAUAGUGAGACCCUGUCUCUACAAACAAACAAACAAAUAAAGAACAUUCCGGGGCUGGGCAUGGUGCCUCAUGACCAUAAUCCAGGCACUUUGGGAGGCCAAGGAGGGAGGAUCACUUGAGCCCAGGAGUUUGAGACCAACCUGGGCAACAUAAUGAGACCCCAUCUUUACUAAAAAAAGAAAAGAAAAGAAAAAAGAAGGAGAAGAAGGAGGAGGAGGAGGAGGAGGAAGAAGAAAAAAGAAGAAGGAGGAGGAGGAGGAGAAGAAGAGAACAUUCCAGGCUGGGCAUAGUGGCUCAUACCUGUAAUUCCAGCACUUUGGGAGGCUGAGGCAGGUGGAUCACCUGAGAUCAGUAGUUCGAAACCAGCCUGGUCAACAUGGUGAAACCCCGUCUCUACUAAAAAUACAAAAAAAAUUAGCCAGGCGUGGUGGUAGGUGCCUGUAAUCCCAGCUACUCAGGAGGCUGAGGCAGGAGAAUCACUUGAACGCAGGAGGUGGUGGUUGCAUUGAGCAGACAUUGGGCCACCACAUUCCAUCCUGGGUGACAGAGCGAGACUCCGUCUUAAAAAAAAAAAAAAAAAGAACAUUCCAGUACAUCUGGCCUCCGAGUAUCUACCCUGCAAUGGGCAGUCUGGACAUUGAUCAGUGAGUGAGAGGUGUGAGGUACAGGUGGGACCAUGAGCUAGCAGAGGGCUAGAGACUGCCCCUCUCUCAACUUCAUCAGUGUCAAGCAACAGGAAAUACUGACAAUAAUUAGUUAUACAAGUGAUAAUAGCUAACACUUAUUAGGCACUUACUAUAUGUCCAAUACUGCACUAAAUGACUUCCAGUGUGAUCUCAUUUAAUAAGUGUCUAAAGCAGCAUUUCUCAAACGUCUUUGAACUCGAUCUAUGGCCAGAAAAAUACCUUCCUUGUAACCUAAUAUGUAUUCACUAUACAUCAAUAAAAUUUCCACAAAAUAUUACUUUCCGUUGACUUCAUAAUUUUUUAAAAUUAUAUUUUGUUUUGUUUUUUUAAGAGGGAGUCUGGCUCAGCACCCAGGCUGGAGUGCAGUGGUGCAAUCUCGGCUCACUGCAACCACCGUCUCCCGGGUUCAAGUGAUUCUCCCAUCUCAGCCUCCUGAGUAGCU